GUGGGGAAUCUUGCGCAAUGGGCGAAAGCCUGACGCAGCCAUGCCGCGUGAAUGAUGAAGGUCUUAGGAUUGUAAAAUUCUUUCACCGGGGACGAUAAUGACGGUACCCGGAGAAGAAGCUCCGGCUAACUUUGUGCCAGCAGCCGCGGUAAUACGAAGGGGGCUAGCGUUGCUCGGAAUUACUGGGCGUAAAGGGCGCGUAGGCGGACAGCUUAGUCAGAGGUGAAAGCCCAGGGCUCAACCUUGGAAUUGCCUUUGAUACUGGCUGUCUUGAGUUUGGGAGAGGUGAGUGGAACUCCGAGUGUAGAGGUGAAAUUCGUAGAUAUUCGGAAGAACACCAGUGGCGAAGGCGACUCACUGGCCCAAUACUGACGCUGAGGCGCGAAAGCGUGGGGAGCAAACAGGAUUAGAUACCCUGGUAGUCC
rnacentral:rRNA from 1 species